rnacentral:rRNA from 1 species
AGUGAACGCUGGCGGUAGGCCUAACACAUGCAAGUCGAACGGCAGCACAGUAAGAGCUUGCUCUUACGGGUGGCGAGUGGCGGACGGGUGAGGAAUACAUCGGAACCUACUUUUUCGUGGGGGAUAACGUAGGGAAACUUACGCUAAUACCGCAUACGACCUACGGGUGAAAGCAGGGGAUCUUCGGACCUUGCGCGAUUGAAUGAGCCGAUGUCGGAUUAGCUAGUUGGCGGGGUAAAGGCCCACCAAGGCGACGAUCCGUAGCUGGUCUGAGAGGAUGAUCAGCCACACUGGAACUGAGACACGGUCCAGACUCCUACGGGAGGCAGCAGUGGGGAAUAGUGGACAAUGGGCGCAAGCCUGAUCCAGCCAUACCGCGUGGGUGAAGAAGGCCUUCGGGUUGUAAAGCCCUUUUGUUGGGAAAGAAAAGCAGCAGGUUAAUACCCCGCUGUUCUGACGGUACCCAAAGAAUAAGCACCGGCUAACUUCGUG